rnacentral:lncRNA from 10 species
UGUCUGCAUCGGACAACACUCAACUCGGGAUUGGCACCCAGCCAGUGCCCUACACUAUACAAGAUGCCACUGUAGGGACAGGGAUGACCUCUAGCAAGCAGCGGGCUAAAUCAACACCACAGGCCCCGUGAUCAAUAUAUGUGAUGAGGACAUUACAUCCUGGUGUUGUUGCCCCAAGUCUUGACGUGAAUCUGACCACAAGGACAAUUCGGACAACCUGAAAUGGUGACGCAUUCUACAAAAUAAACAUCAAUGUCAUGAAAGACAAAGACUCAAGAUUUUCUGCUUAAUGGAGACUAAAGAGAUGCGACAACAGAAUGCCAGGCAUGAUCUUGGAUAUUCUUUUGGCUCAAACAGUCUUAGGACAAUUGAAAAAACGUGAAUGAGGUCUGUAGCUAAUAGAAUUGUGUCAAUGCCACAUCCUUGGUUUUGUUAAUUGC